rnacentral:rRNA from 1 species
UACAGAGGGGGCAAGCGUUGUUCGGAAUUACUGGGCGUAAAGGGCGCGUAGGCGGCCUGUUAAGUCGAACGUGAAAUCCCCGGGCUCAACCCGGGAACUGCGUCCGAUACUGGCAGGCUUGAAUUCGGGAGAGGGAUGCGGAAUUCCUGGUGUAGCGGUGGAAUGCGCAGAUAUCAGGAGGAACACCGAUGGCGAAGGCAGGUCACUGGGCCGCAACUGACGCUGAGGAGCGAAAGCGUGGGGAGCGAACAGG